AUUGAACGCUGGCGGCAGGCCUAACACAUGCAAGUCGGGCGAGCGGAGGACGGGUGAGUAAUGUAUGGGGAUCUGCCUGAUGGCGGGGGAGAACUACUGGAAACGGUAGCUAAUACCGCAUACCAUCAGAGGAACCCAUAUGGGAUUAGCUAGUAGGUAAGGUAACGGCUUACUUAGGCGACGAUCACUAGCUGGUCUGAGAGGAUGAUCAGCCACACUGGGACUGAGACACGGCCCAGACUCCUACGGGAGGCAGCAGUGGGGAAUAUUGCACAAUGGGCGCAAGCCUGAUGCAGCCAUGCCGCGUGUAUGAAGAAGGCCUUCGGGUUGUAAAGUACUUUCAGUCGGGAGGCGUUACCGACAGAAGAAGCACCGGCUAACUCCGUGCCAGCAGCCGCGGUAAUUC
rnacentral:rRNA from 1 species